rnacentral:ncRNA from 1 species
GUUUCAGGGCGUGGUGAAAGUCCACACCGGCGGUGAUCACAGGAGGCAUCCUGCGUAAGUCCGCGAGCAAUUGGCCGAACCGGUGAGAUUCCGGUACCGACGGUAUAGUCCGGAUGAAAGAAA